rnacentral:tRNA from 2 species
GAUCGUGUAAUGUAGUGGUUAGCAUUCCAGAUUUUGAAGCAUGGCAAGCAUCCAAGGAGUUCUGGCAACCUGGGUUCGAAUCCCAGCAUGAUCA